AAAAAAAAAAUUUUUUGAGGAGAAAAUCAGUUAAGUACUUAUUGUAAAUUGUGUAUUAAGUAUAAUGCAUAUUUUUUUACUAAAUUUACUUUUUCUGUAAGCAAGGUUUCAACAUUUUAUAAGUUGAAAGUUGAAGUUGAAAGUGAUGUUGAAAGAUAUUUAAAUGUUAUUACACCUUUUUUGUAUGUAAUAUGCAUAUAUGAAUGCAAAUAUGUACACUUGUAAUAUAUAAUGAUAACGAGCGACAAAAGUGUCCCCGUCUGAACGCCGUCUAUGCAGCUGAUUUUUCUUAUAGAUUUUACAGCUGCCAGCUGUCAUUUCAUGUUCUUGUUAGACACUAACCAAGGCACCUUCACUUGUCAAAGUUUACAAGAACUUAACUGACAGUCAGUUGCUAACCAGAUAUUAAUAAAACCAUUUUUGAACAUGUUGCCGUUAAAGUUCUGGUUAAGCGCUUAACCGGACAUUGAGAAAACGGCCCUUAUUGUCACAAAUUUGCUGUAUUUAGAUAAAGUUGAUACAUAUUUGCAUGCCUCCUUAUACAUACUUAUAUAUUGUACAUAUUUUUACAACACGUGUAAAUAAAUUUACAUAAACACAGAACCACUCAAUGAAUCGGUCAAAGCACGUGAUCGCUCGCCCGUCGUUUGUUGUUCGACUGCUUCACAGUGGAAUUAUACCAAACGAGCAUAUCAAUAUUGACCGAAACAGUAUAUAUUUGUACGUACGCUUCACAAAUUCAUAUCAAUUACUUAUAAAUAUCACAAAAUUUGUAUUGUGUUUGUAUUAUGAGUGCAAUGAUAUAAAAAGAGUAGCUCGAAAGUCAAAACCAAAGCAUGAAGCUAAGCAAAUAUUUAUUAAAGGCCAUUCACACCACACAUUUUCACGCUAUGUGUGUACAAAACUACAUAAAAACAAUUAUUUGUUUGUGUGCUUUAUGAUAUUUUUUUUGAUAAAUAUUUGUACAGUGGAAUUUACCCAUUUUUUGUAAGCAAAAAAAAAAUUAUAAUUUGCGGCAGCAACAACAAUCUUAAAGGAAUAUUUACGCUUGACACUUAUGUAGUAUAUAGAUAAAUGAAAAUGAUAUGUGUAUGUACAUAUGUAUAUAUUUUGUAACAGUUAUAAAAACCUCACAAACAAAAGACUUGUUGCCAUCGAUCGCGUGAACGCAUGCAAAGAAUUCGCGUGUGGGCGUUGACACGCCGAAAAUGUUUUUACGGAUAUUCUUUUUUACAGCACACAGACACAUUUACACAUAUGUAUACAGUAUGUGUGGUUGCGUCAGUCGAAAUAAAAACAAAAAAGUGUUGAUCCACAGCUGUGUUGAUCGCGCUCUGGUUUACCUGGGAACUUGCAGACGGACGGAAGAUACACAAAAGCUGAUGGCACUAAAAAGUGUACCGAUCACGUGUUGUUUUAAAGCACUUGAAAGCGCCUUGAUAGAAACAGCCAUUGUUGUUAAAGCUCUCUGCUGGGGGCAAUACCCGCACGGUCCCCUGUAUUAUUUACGUUUAUGUGCCGUAAGCUUUGGACGCAAUUCCGUUUAUUAUCAUCUACAAAUAAUGCGACAUAGCUGAUAAGCCAAGCAUAUUGUUUGUUAGCACUGUACCAAAUUAGCUUUGUUAUUAUUAUUCAAUGAAUAUUUUCUAAAUUUAUAACAAAUAAAAUUUUAUUUUCUGAAAGAAGA